UUAUUUGUCUUAUAUAUCUCUCAUUAUCCUAAGUUAGUGUAAAAUUGACCCUUUUCAUUGUACUCUUAUCAUGUCAUCUUUCUGUUAAAUAUAAAAUAUCACUUAUAGGUGAUAUCCCCUAAACAAGGUAAAAAAAGGUGUCUUAUUUUGUAUAUUUAAAAAGAUUUACGGGUACUAUCAGAAGAUCUUUUGAUCAUUUAAUUCAAGUUUAAUAAUGUGAAUAUGAUAACUGAGAGAUGCAAGGAAAUAAUUUGUAGAUUUAAAUUUCAUAAAUUAACAGUAUUUUCAAAUGAUAUAGAUAUCGUGAGGCCAUCAUUGGCCUAGAGAACAAUUAUGAGGCCUUGUGUUUGUACUUUGUCCCUCUGCUUUGGCCUUAGGUCCCAUUGCUUUGGCCUUAGGUCCCAUUGCUUUGGCCUUAGGUCCCAUUGCUUUGGCCUUAGGUCCCAUUGCUUUGGCUUUAGGUCCCAUUGCUUUGGCCUUAGGUCCCAUUGCUUUGGCCUUAGGUCCCAUUGCUUUGGCCUUAGGUCCCAUUGCUUUGGUCUAAUGGGAUAGGUGAGUAGAUGCUUCAGAAAUAAGGUAACAGUUAGUCAAUGGAUCCUGCAUUUGAAGUACUCUUUUCUGUAUGUGGCAUUGCCCUAUUAGUUUAUUGUCUUUUUUCUUAGCGCAUUUAGAUUUAACAUUUUUUUUCUUAUUGAAUGAAAUACUCAUGUUAUGCUACACAGAAAUAACAGCAACAAUUUUCAGAAUACCUAUACACAUUGUAACCGAAUACUUUGUAGUCUGUUCACCAACUAUUUCACCUGUUCUUCAUUUCUUGUUCUACAAGUAGUUCUUUCUUUUUGACAUAUCCACCUUUUUAUGGUUUAUUCUUUACUUUGGAGCAUUGCACCCCCCCUGCCUAUGACAUUUUCAUUUGAAAGUUUUGCACAAACAUUAUAAUAUUCCUUCACACUAUUAAUCCCUUUUAAUGUUACUGGCGGUCGUACAAAACGAGUAGCAAUCAUACGUAACUUGAUUAUCCAUCGAUCAGAAGCGUGUAUCUCAGACGUGCAUAUGAUUUUUGAGUUGUGUGUCAACAACGCUAUUUCUGCAGUAGGCUUCAUGUGAUCUGUAGAUACAUCUCUGUCCACAAAAUGGAAAAUACAGGUGUACAUAUAACGUCAUUGUUAUCACCAAGAAUGUGUUAUAUCAUAUUCAUGUGAAUAGCAUUUUGUAGUGUGUGCAUGCUAGCAUGCAAGCUUUGCUUGUUCAUCACAGAAUCCUUAUGUUUAUGUUCUUACUGCAUUGAUAUCGACAUAAUCAUCUAUAUUGCACUCUCUAUCUGUAUAGCAGUAAUCUAUUGAAAGGCGCACAAUUUUUAUUGUAAUUCCAGCUUUAAGGUAAUGAUGCUGACAUUUCAUGUUAAUUAUUCCUACAUUAGUAUUUGAUAUACAUGUAUGUAUGUUGUAUUUCUUCCUUUGUUGUAAUUGAUUUCAUAUUUUGACUCGUAUUAUGUUCAAUGACUGGUGCAUUGUUUCAAUCAGUAACGAUAUCUUUUUCCUUCUUGAUAUGAAAUUGUUUUACUGGUGUUUAUAUUUUUUACAAGAAAAAAAAGAAAAAAAUGAAUUUCAUCUUCUGAUCUAUUUUUGUAUGCCUACUGCAUGAAAUAUGAAUAUUGAUUGAAGUCUCUACUAGUACAUUUUCUGUAGAUUACAGCAUUAAUCGUAGUUGAUGUAGACAUAAUGAAUGGGUAUAUUGUUUUAUUCAUAUAUAAUGAGCAGUGCUGCCUAGUGUUCUUAUUAAUAUAUAUUUGUAUCCAUAUAUGCAGUACUGCAGGUCAUUAGAAAAGAGAUCUAUUUUUUUGCUACAUAUCAUAUAAAUGUUUGAACCAAAAAUGGAAUAAAUGUCUUGUAUAUCAGUAUAGAAUUCAACCUCAUUUAUUUGGUAUUAAUGUGAUAUAUCUGCACAUCGUGAUUUGACAAGAAAUUUGGGUUGGCUACAUUGUGCACAUGUAAUUUUUCUUCAAAUUUUAGAAAUAUGUAAUAUAUGUUAAAGGAGGAGUAUUAAUAUCUAAUAGGUUAUUUGAAACUGAAUUUCAGAAAUUAAUCAUUUUUUAGGUGAAAUAGAGUUUUUUAAAUCCAAAGAUAAAUAUUACUGCAAGAUUGUGGCCGCUUUGUACAGAGAUUUUCAAAUAGGAGAUUGCCUUUUAUGUCAUGUUGGAUUCUUUCUAGAUUGAUAUUAAUUUACAUGUGCAUCAACAGAUAUUUGUAUUUGUAAUCUAUUUAUAUAAAUCAUGUACACAAAAUUUAUGCUGAUCUGUAUUUAUUUGCAUCAAAUGGAUAUAUGAAUUUGCAUGAUAAAUGCACAAAUUAUUACCAUGAAUCUAAAAAAAACAUCGGAGGACAGGAAUAUUUAUUUAAAAAAUAGUGAUUUAUGAUUGACUUCAGUGUAUGAAAUCAUGGCAGGAAACAAACCCAUUUCCCAGUACACAUUUGCGUAUUAUGAGAAAGAGGAUCUUGCAAUAUUAUACAAUUUUGAAUAUAUGCGGAAGCCAAGAAGUAUGUAGUCAGUUCCCUAAUUUACCAAUUCAUUUCAAGGUGGUAUAAUUUCUCUGUCUUAAUGAGUUUAUCAAUUAUCAGGAGCAGGUUGUCCAAUCCGUUUACACAUUUGACAGAAAUAAUGAAAAAGUGUGAGGGUUUGACAUCACUCUAUUUUCAUCACACUUGUUUUGGAUUAUGUGACUCAUUGUAAAUUCUGGUUUUUUUUUCUUUGAUUUGAAUUCAUUAUCUGUAGAUAACACCAUUUACAUUGUACAUUGAUUAUAAUCUGCUUUUUAUAUAGUGCUUUCUAAGUAGAAAGUAAGAAAUUGGCCCCUAUUCUGAAUUGUGGUUUAAUUCAUAGUCUGGUCUAAAGUUGUGGUUUGACUAUGGAUAGCUGAUCGUGAUAGAUAUCUCUAACAGUACAGGUACAAUUUAUAAUCACAUCUAUUACGUCAUUCAUAAUGUCUCGGAAAAAAUAUCUGUAUUGAUUUUUUUCCUAAUUGUAGCAUGUAGAAAGAGCACAGUGGAAAUGCAAUGUUAACAAAAUUUUGACAUGUUUGGCUUUCCAUAAUUUUAGCACAGAGUUAGACCGUGGCCCAAGUUAAACCAGAAUUCAGAAUGUAAGCCAUUCUGACUUGCCUGCGAACAAUGUUAUGCACAUUCUCCACACCCUAGGGAGCAUUCCAGCAAGUUUCCAAAUUCAAUUGCAAGGAAUACACAUUGACUUUCAGAUCCUAUUGGGCAUUUGAUUUAAUACCUAUGUGACUAUCUGGUUGCUAGAUAAGAGUUAUAAACAAUUCCUCAAGCUAUUUCCACUGAUACAUUCCAUGUCAUGUGAAAUCUUCUCCCUCAUAUUGAGAUAUUUCCGCUCUCAUGAUACCUGGGAGGUACUAGUAAUAACCUUUUUUUCUACAUGUCAGCAGAUAAGAAGACUUUGAAUUAUCUAUAAGAGUAUAGCCGUCAACUGGUUUGAGUUAUUAUCAUUUUGAUUCUACACGACGAGUUGUUUUCACAAUUCAUUUAUUGUGGAACUACUCAUCUCAUUAUGAGCACUCCAAAUCUUUGUGAGGUUAAUGCCCUCUCUACUAUAAAAUGAUCAAAUGUCAAAGGUUAUAACAUGUUGGAUUUAUUUAAUUUCAUUGAUGACUACGCAUUAGCGUGCCUUUACUUCACCAUGUACUUGCCAAUAUGGUGAUGAUUUUUUUUUAUAUAUAUUCUAAACAUAUCCAAGCUAUUAAGUGUGACUUUAAAAGUUAAAUUCAACUCUUUGUGAAAUACCCCCCUUCAUUGCCUCAUAUAAAAUAACCUUUUAGAAAAUCAUUUUAUUAGUCAGAUAUUAUGAAGAUCUGUUUCUAUGUGAUGUUGAAUAUGGUAUCAGAUAUGGUUGUUGAUUGUAUGUAUCAAUACAUUUUUUCUCUGUGGAUGAAUAUUAUAUAUAUUUAUAGAUAGUUAUAUUUACCAUGCUGUUUUGCUGCCACCAACUUCAACUUGACCGUUUUAUAACUUUUAGCCGUGAAAUCUCAUUCAAGGGAAAUAUCCACUUUGUUGCAUCGCACUUUCACUUUCAGAUAUUGCGGUCAUCACGAUGCACAAUUUAUGUACUUUUAUAGUGAAUUGGCAUUGAGCAAUGAUGUGAUGAGUUUAGGCAAUUAAUCAUGACAUGCAUUUUAAUGGGAAUCUCAAUUUCAAAAAAGAAAUAUGGAGUUAUUUGGUUUUGGAUAGUUUUUAAAUUUGUUUGUUUUUAACACAUUAUGAAUACAAUGACACAUUGACAUUGGUCAUGAAAAUAAUAUUUUCCUCUUGCUAUAAAUAGAAAAUUAUGAAUGUGUUCUUUCAUUUCGGAGAAUAUUCACUGACUUUGCUUUAAGGAAACACACUAGCGGCCUUCAAACCAAACUACCACAAAGUAAAAUACUGUGAGUUGUUUGCUUCUAUUUGAUGUGUGACUAUGCAUGAAUCCCUUUUUUUUUUAGAUGUUUUAAUAUAUUUCAUAAAGUAUAGUUUGUGAAAAAAUCCAAACCUUGUCUUUGGAUGGAAAGAACUUGUUUAAUGAUGAAUAAUUGAAUGAAAACUCUCCAUGAGAAGGGACUUUUUUACUCAUGUAUAAGCAAAUUUAUGCAUGUCGAAUAUAGCUUUAUGGUCAUACUCAGAGGCUUGUCAGAGACUUCCUGACAUACCAUCAGGAGGUAUACUUGCUAAGUACUUUGGUUUAUGAUUAACAAUGACAUAGUCAGUUAUGUAUAAAGUCUAUAUUUAACAAGAUUAUUGAUAAACUUUGAAAUUCCGACGUUUGGAGAACAAUUGGCUCCCGACAUCACAAUCAACUUUGGUUGUUUACCACUUCCCUUCAUACAGCUCUGUGAUUGGUUGCUAAUUUUCUGUAUUUCCUGAAGAUUAACACUAAUGACUGAAGGUUUAUUUUAAUUAAGAAAAGAACAACUUUAUUAGGAACUUUUAUUGUGUAUUAUGGAGUUGAAAAUGGGUAUGUAAUCUAUUUUUUAACCUGUGUUUUAUUAUUGUUUGGCUGUAAUUUCUUAAUUGAAUAAAAUCUUGACACUUUUUGUAA